UUCUCCUGAAAAAAAGAGCCUUUGUUGGGAGAGGACGACUGGGGAAAGGAGGAGGAAUGCAGAGCGUGUGCAGAAAAUGCUCAGUGAGACCAAGUUUUCCGCAGAUAACAGAGAGGGCUCUAUAGCAUGAGCCCGGUAACGAGGCACCACCAGAAGCACGUACGGUACAAGCUCCUGUUACAGCCAUAGAAUUGUCUUGUAAGUUUUGUAAAUGCUUUCCUCUCAUGAAAAAACAUAUGUUGUGGAGUAACUUACCCUGUGCUUUCACUUCCAAGGAGCAGACCAACAAGCACAGCCCUGGUGUGUGACCAUACACUGCACUAUUUGUGCCUGGGCAUUUGGUUGCCUCAGUUUUGGUGAGAAGUUUCUGCACCCGUGUGUAGAUGGCAGAGGUGAUGGGGCAGUGUUGGAUGGUCACCUAGAUAUGCCAGAUGUUUUUGUACAGGUCUUUUUAUAAAAACCCUUUCAUAUCUUUUAUGUAUAUCUACACUUACCAGUAGACAUUAUAUAUAUAUAUAUAUAUAUAUAUAAUUUAUCUAAAUAUCUAAUAUUAUAUAUAUUUAUACAUAUAUAUUAAGGGCUGUAUCUGUUUCAGUAGGUGCUGAAUACACUUCAUUUACAAACGCACAGCAGCUGACUUAAUGCUCAUGUCUUAAGCAAGAGCUGAGUGUUCCCAAGGCUGAGGCAGGGGAAGGAAGACAUUGGAAUGGAAUAAACCACACGAAGAAAUGAUGGGCUUCACCUGAGUGGCAGAAGCCAUCUCCCUACAGGCACCUGGAAUCCUCACCCCAGAGCAGGGGCUGGUAACCUCUUGUCUGACUUCAGGAACCAUCGUGUCUCUGAAAAUGCAGUUUUCCCCACUCCUGCUGUUGUUCCUCCCUCAAUCUCACUUUGUUGACUGUUUAAAAAUUGUGACAUGAGUGCUUUAAAAAGAUACUAGGCACAGUUUCAGUUGCUAAGGUGGAAAUGGGUUUCUGACUGGCCCUCAGUGGCAGGCAGGCUGCUGCUGGCUGCAAUUGUGCCUUUUGUCACACAGGCUAAAAGAGAAAAGAUUGCAUUUUCAUUUACUAGCUGGGCCUGUGAGGUGCACAGGAUUGCAUCCUGUGCUGAACUGGAUAACAAAGUCUUGAUUGUUAACUGACUGCCCCAAUUGUCUUUUUUAAGUCAAGUAUAGGUCCAUCUUCCCCCUUACAUAGCUAUAUAUAUAAAUAUGUACACAUAUGUAAAUACAUGUACUUAUGUGUGACUGGGUUUGUAUGCGUACAAAUACACACAUGUAUUUAUAGAUACAUCAUUUAUGUGCAUGUUAAAAAAUAUAUAAAUGCCUGACUUUGUUGCCAGGUUGAGAAAGGGCUCUGGUGCUUUAAAUCAGUGCAGAAGAUGAAGCAGCUGUUGGGUCAAAUCUUUGCAGCUUUUCUGUUGUGUGAUUCUUGUUUCAGGCAGCAGCUGAGCCUACAGGCUCUGUGCAGAAAUUUUGCUGAAGAAAUCCUCUCUGCACGUGGCCAGCAGCCUGAAUCAGCCUUUUCUGGUGGAUGGUGAAACAGUGGAAGACCUUUGAAGGGAAUUGCUACCAUGGGGUUUGUCUGGCUGUGAGGUAAGUUAAAAUGCAAGACCAGAGACAGUUGUGGUCCAGCUGAUGAGGUGGUAUAUAAAUCAAGAGCUGGGACACUAAGGUUUUUUGCAGAUGUGCUUCUCUGAGGAGGAAGAGGGGAUGACUUGGCUACAGGAGCUGCAGUUCUGUCCCAGCCCAGCUGGACAUGUUCCUGCACCCUCAGCAUCUCUCCUGCUGCUGUGGGGAUGCUUGCAUGAGAGCAAUCUGCCAGCCUGCACCUUCACCUGCAGGGCUGUGGCUCCUGCAGCCACAGAAACCUGCUCCUGUGCGCAAGGAGAGUGUUAGGCCACCCUUGACAGAACCAGGGCUGUGCUGUGAAGGGGAGUGGGACACAGAAAACCUUUCCAGCCUUGAGAAACCAGCGGCACUGCAGGCAGAAUCCUGUUGCACAGCAGCCAGACUGGCUGGCACCCCAACAGGGCACUUCAUCCCCAGACAGCUGCAGCUGGCCAUGAAACAGCCAUGCUGGGCAGGGCUGGAGCAGGCUGCAGGGCAGCUGUGGGGGGAAUGCAGCGGCACCCAGGGGUGCUGCUUCCUGCACUGCACAGACCACACGUGCUGUACAUGGGAGACACAAACCCCUCGUGCCUGCCCCAGGUGCACACCACGCUGGAGACACAAAACACACAGCCCCCCUCUCCUGAAACACACACCAUCCCUGCUGCACAGCACUUCCACUCUGCUCACGGGGCAAGCAAAGUAGGGGUGUGCUGCAGACAUGGGGUACAAGGCACAUCAGCCAGCCUCGGGGGGCAGGGUCUGCGUGCUACUCCUGCUUUGCCGGUUCAGGUUUCCCAGCCCCUUUCUUUCUUGUGCUGCUGGGAUUGACAGUAAGCAAAAGCAGAGCUCAGCACAUCCACCCUGGGCAGUACAGCAGAGAAAGCAGCAUUCACCAUUUCCAUUCUUUCCUCUGCCCAUCACCUUUAACCAAACGCCAAACAACAUCCAUGAGAUUUGUCUUAGACCAUCUCAGCCUUCCCAAAAGGCUUGUCCUGCUGACCCUCAGUAAUAUCAGGAUGCAUUCAAGUCUUGCUUGAGGCAAUGCUGUGCCUGGUGGUUCACACUAAACCAUGCACAGUGCUAAAGACACAGCUGGGUAACUCAGGAGCAGAAGGUUGUUACAAGCUGGAGACUGACACUCAUUACCCCCAAAUAUUUGAUAACAGUGGUUAAUUUCAAUGUCCUACCUGAGUCACUUGUUUGAAGCCAAGUAACCAAAACCAACAACAACAAAAAAAGCUUUUAUACCUUAGCA